rnacentral:lncRNA from 1 species
AUGGGGGCACGGUUGAGAGGGGAGUGGAACAGCCCCCACAGGGCCCUGCCAUCUCCAGACACGACGGGGCAGGCGCUGCUCGGACAGCGUGUGGAAGCGGCCGCCCGCGGAGUCACGACGCUGUCCGGGUACAGCGGGGGUGGGGGGGGGCUGGGGGCCGGGGCGGCCCCUCCCCCGGCNNNNNNNNNNNNNNNNNNNNNNNNNNNNNNNNNNNNNGGGCCUUGGGCCCUUCCCUGUGGGAAGCCGGGGUGGUCCCCAGGCAGGGCGUCCUGUGUGAGGACGAUCAGGGAGGCGGUGAGCCGUGUGCCUGGCCGGGCAUGUCGCACACCUCCUGCGGGGGGGGGCUGGGGCAGAGGCGGUCAGCGCAGAGACUCCGCCGGGCAGUGGUCCCCUCGGGGCCCCAUAGGGCACAGCGCUCUGCCCUCCUGCCGGGGAAGCCCCUGCCCCUGGGCUGGCCUCCCCAGCUCCUCCGGGGGCCUCUCAGCAGCUGGCCGUGGCCGUCAGCCCCAUGCCCCUGCGCUCUGCUCGCCCCCGGCUCUCCUUCGCGGGGCCCUGCUCCUGCGCCGUGGGCGGCCCCGGCUGGGAGCUGCCGUGGUCUCCUGCCCAUCACUCACUCCCCGUUCCCCGCCCUCCGCUCUGGCGGGGAUGCAGGCCUUGAGGCAACCCCGUCUCUCCCCUGGCGCCUUGAGCUGGCCUUGGCUGGUCCUGGGUGGAGUUGUGACUGGCCUUCCGGGACAGACACUUCUCGUCUGCACUGCGGUCUUGUGCAACUCGGGGCUUUUUGCGAGCGCGGUGGCGUGAGCGUGUCUGUGGGUCUCAGCAGCGGGGGCCGGGCCCCUGGUGGGCAGGGCGCGGCCGCCACCCUGUUGAGAAAGCCCCGGGCUGGCUGCGCUCCCUGGAGGUGACGGGGUGGGCCGGGCCUGCUGGCUGGUCUUUCUCCUUCUCUCUCACUUCUGCCUGGUGCCCACUUCUCGUUGGUUAGGAUGAUGCAAAGGCGCGUGCCUCCGUCUUUGCUGAGCCUGACGUGGCAGCGAGGUGACUGGUUCACCCGGAGGCGCGCUCCGCUUUCCCGAGGCCGGCCCUGUGGGCAUGGCCUGUCGUCUCCUCCUGGGCCAGGGCGGGGGGAUGCCCGUCCCGCGCCCGUGUCUCUCGCUGCCAGCGCUGGGCGCCUGCGGCCUGCCUGUCCUGCUCCUCGCGCAGGGGGCUUGUUCACGGCCGUGCGGCAGUGGAGUCCCACGCUCGCCUGCUUGUGUUUAUCUCCCGCACCUCACGUGGUCAGCGUGUGGAUUUCUGAAGCCGUGAAGCACACGUGAGAUCAUUUAAAAAUUUAUCGAGUCCAUCCUCCAUUGCCGUUUCUCUCCGUUGCCUUCUGGUUUUUUGGCCAUGUGGCUAGUGGGAUCUUCGCUCCCUGAGCAGGGACCGAGCCUAGGCCCUUGGCGGUGAAAGUGCAGCGUCUUAACAGCUUAGCAGCCAAGGAAGCCCCUCGUUUGCUUCAAGAUUUUUGUUCAGCUUGCUAGGAUGCACCCUUAAGGGACGUGGCGUCUCCUGUCCCUUGGUGAGGCUCUAACUCAAGUGUCUUGAGCAGGAACAGAAGCUGAGCGCACAGAAAGGGCUCCCUGGCCCUGCUCCCCCUCGGGUCAUGAGUCUGGAGCUUCGUGUGGAGAGCGGGGUGCUGGGGAGAGUCCCUUCCCCCCUGAGGCUGCCCAGGCCCUGGGCCCCAGGGAGCCUUUCCUGUGAGUCGAGGACCAGCUGGCAGGUCAUGGGGUCCCUCGCGGUCCCCGGUGCAGCCUCUGUGUGUUCACAUGACACGCCAUCUUGCUCAUCUGACUGCACCGGGCACCCCUCCUGCCCCUCGCCACCGGCCGAGACCCCUGACACUGGCUUCUUCCCCCAUCCUGCCACGGAUCCCCAGGGCACCCUGUGCCCC